UUUAAUGUAUAAAAGAUGGCAGCCUCCAUGUGGAAAAAUAUGAGAAAUUUUGUAUCAAGAAAAAAUUUGUAUCGACUGGUGUUUGAUCCCCAGUUGGCAAUUUUUUCUAUGUUUGUGCUUCUUAUUGCUGAGCUGGUUGUUAAUAUUUUAGUAAUCAAGAAAAUCAAAUACACUGAGAUAGACUGGACAGCCUACAUGCAGGAGGUGGAGGGGGUAGUGAAUGGGACAUAUGAUUACACACGGCUGAAGGGAGACACUGGGCCGUUGGUAUAUCCGGCAGGUUUUGUGUACAUCUACCUAGCCCUGUACUACAUUACGAGUUAUGGACAUAACGUUCGUCUGGGACAGUAUUUGUUUGCUGGGCUGUACAUGCUGUCACUAAUCGUACUGUUUGACAUAUAUAGGAAAACAAAGAGGGUGCCCCCAUAUGCGUUUAUCUUUAUGUGCUGUGCCUCCUAUCGGAUCCACUCCAUCUAUGUACUGAGGCUGUUCAAUGAUCCAGUGGCCAUGUUCUUCAUGUACCUGGCUGUUGACUGUUUCCUCAGAGAUCGAUGGGGGUUAGGAUGUCUGAUAUACAGUCUGGGUGUGUCGAUUAAGAUGAACCUCCUCCUGUUCAGUCCGGCUCUACUCAUGUUACUGAUGGUCAGGCUGGGGACGCUCAAGACCAUCUGGCAUCUUACCAUAUGUGCAGCUCCUCAGGUUGCCUUGGCCAUCCCUUUCUUACUUGAGAACCCCCUGGGGUACAUAGUGAGGUCGUUUAACUUUGGACGCCAGUUUUUCUACGUUUGGACUGUGAAUUGGAGGUUGAUUCCUGAGGAUAUUUUCCUGAAUAAAUAUUUCCAGACAACUCUGCUUCUCUCUCAUGUUGCUGUCCUUGUCUUGUUUUUAGUGUUUAAAUGGAGAAGAUUGUAUCCAGACAUCAGAUUCGGACUUUGGAUGAGGGAGUCUGGUACAGCAUUAUCACCAAAUCAUAUCCCUUUUACAAUAAGUGAGAGAUGAACACUACUAGAUUUGAACGUACAACCUUAGUAGUAACCAGUGCCCACAGUUAAACCUUCAAGAUGGUGCUAGUAUGAGUGAGACUAGCUCACAGAAGAGUUCCUUGACAAUGUAACAGAUAUUACUGCCCCUGUUCACAGCCAAUCUGAUCGGGAUGAGCUUCAGUCGCUCGCUACAUUACCAGUUCUACGUCUGGUAUUUCCAUACCCUGCACUAUUUACUCUGGUCUACAACCCAGCCCCAAAUUGUCAAGCUGUUGAUAUUGGGUGUGAUUGAGCUGUGUUGGAAUACGUAUCCUUCCACUGUGAUAAGUAGUUCCCUGUUACACCUGUGUCAUGCGUUUAUGCUGCUUACAUUGUGGUUUUCUCCAGACUAUACACCUACAGAUAAAACUGUUAAGGCUACCAAGAUCAGCUGAUUUCAGGGUACACAGAUGGAAAUGAUGCAAUUAAUGACUGUGUGUGUGUAUAGCAUGUGUCAGAGAGUGAUGUGUUCAUAAGUGCCAUGAUGAAUCUAUUCAGAAAAUCGGAUGCGCGUUAAUGCUCGGGCAAAAAUUACAAAGGAUUGUAUAUAUAUAUAUAUGCAAUCAAUAAUUUAAAACAUAUGUAGACAGUGCAAUUAAUUCAAAUAAAGGAUGUUAUUUAAAAUCAAACUGCUAUUGGAAUUGUUUUAUGAUGUGAUAUACGAAUGUUAUUUCUC
rnacentral:misc_RNA from 1 species